UACGUAGGGAGCAAGCGUUGUCCGGAAUCAUUGGGCGUAAAGCGCGCGUAGGUGGCCCUGUAAGUCCGUUGUGAAAGUCAAAGGCUCAACCUUUGAAAGCCGAUGGAUACUGCAGGGCUGGAGUCCGGAAGAGGCGAGUGGAAUUCCUGGUGUAGCGGUGGAAUGCGCAGAUAUCAGGAGGAACACCAAUAGCGAAGGCAGCUCGCUGGGACGGUAGCUGACACUGGAGGCGCGAAAGCGUGGGAGCGAACAGG
rnacentral:rRNA from 1 species